rnacentral:tRNA from 1 species
GGGAAUGUAGCUUAGUGGUAGAGUGCUUGCCUAGCAUGUAUGACGCUUUGGGUUCAAUUCCUCAGUACCA